GGUACCAAGUAUUAUGAUUGGGAUUUUUUCUGUUAUUUUCUUUUGUUAUAUGGGUGCAAAAGAUUGAGAUGUUUGAUAUUGUCUAGGUAUGUAGUGUUGUCAGCUAAGUCCAAGAAAUAGUAAACAGCAAGAAAAUUGAGGAUCUGCAUUAGAGAGUGAUUAAAGUGUUUCCCUAUGAGAUUUUAUCCAGGUAAGGAAAGAAGAGAUCAGGUUAGUGUGAGAGAGUGAAAAUUAUAUGAUCAAUGGAUUGAAAUUCUCAGUAGGAUAAAAAGAUUGUUGAUAUUAGAGUGCUAAAAGUGAAUUGGAAAGAGAUAGAACUCAGGGUUGGAGAUUCAUUAGAUAGAGUUUGUGAAGGGGUUAUUGAUGAUAUGGGCUGAAGUAGGGCCAUGAAAGGAAAUCACUGAGAUAAAGAAGAGAAUAAACUGAGAGAGAAUUCAAGCAGAGUUAGAGAACUGAAGAAUUGCCUAAGUGCUUACUGAAAUGAUGAACUAAGACAGGGGAGCUUUGGCAUGAUAGUGAGCCAUGAGAAGAGGAAACCUAGAAGUUGGUAGGAAACAGGAAAAACAGCAGUGAGAGAUGCAGUCUCAUGGGUUUGUAAGCAGGGAGCAUACCAGAGGUCAAACUAGACAGCUGCUCCCCAUCCAGUUAUUUGUAAAGCUUGAGAAGGGAGAAAGGGAGAAAGGGAAAUGCUGUCUGUAGGAGAGAAUCAGAUUUCAAUGACUGGAAGAAAAGGAAGGAUUCUUCAGAGAAGAGAGUGAGGCUCUUUUGUGACAAGCCAUAGAUUCUGACUGACCCCAUGGAAGUUUAUGUCUACACUGAAGGGCUAUUAAUUGGAAAUUAGUACAAAAUAUGUAUGACAGCAUCAAGCAUGAUCUGACCUUUCACAGGGGUUAAAUACUACAGUUCCAUCACUCUAGUCAAAUAUCAGCUUCAUGUUAUUUAGGUUGGGUCUGAAAUGUGUCAAGAGAAAAGGAGAGUUUUGACAACUUUAACCUCUUGAUAAUAAGCCCUAAUCAGGUAGUUGCUCCUUCACACACGGUGCACAUUUCUGCACAAAAUCUUAAAUUAGAAUGUCUUUGGCAGCAAAUAACAGAAAACACAGCUAAAAUAGCUUAAUUUAUUAUUUAUUAACACAAACAACAAAAGGUCUUAUAGUAGGGUGACUUCAUGUUUUUUUAAUUAAGGGGGUCAAUGACAUCAUCAAGGUCAUAGUUUCAUUUUUUCUUUUCCUGUUCUGCUGUGUUCAGCAUUUUGUAUUGUUUUCAUAUUUCUCUUAACCCAGUACAGCAGAGGCAACUGCAGUCACCACACCUCUGCAAGCUGUAGAAAUAGAAAAGAAAGCUUUCUCUUGUGUGUGACUUUUUAACAGUGAGAACUUUUUGUAAGAAUUUCUUUCCUGUCUCAAUGUUGAGUUUCAUCCCAUGCUCACACUUGUGGUUGACUCAGACCAAGGUGAAGCUACCUGCUGCAGCUUUUGCAUUUUUCUCUGCAGGACACAGACACAUGUUGAAAAAAUCAGGUCUUUGUUAGCAAGGAAGGAGGGAGAAGAACUGCUGGUUGGGUAUCCAAAGAUGUGCUUCAUUGUCCUUUCCUUAAUUGCAUUAUUUGUCACAGCUAUACUGUAAUUAUCUAUUGAAGCCAAACAUGCUGAUUGAUGUCUGUUAUUCUUGUGUACAUGUGUAUAUAAGCAUAUAUAAAUAAGCAUAUAUAUGCUUACAGCAUUAAUUUUCUGUUGCUGAACAUCAAAUUAUCACGAAUUUUGCUUCUUAAGACAAUAUGUAUUUAUUAUUUUAUGACUCCCGUAGAUCUAGAAUCAGGCAAGUUGAAUCUUGGGCCCAAGAGGUUGUGUGGCAUCAAAGAAAUUGCUAGACUGAAGCUCUCAUCUGGAGCUUAAAGUUCCUUUCAGUUUGUCACCAGAACUCAGUUACUUGUGCAUAUAGUCAGGAGGUGCUGGUUUUGUGCUGCUAUUAGGCAGACACCACUCCCAGCUAUGAAACGCUGCCACAAUUUUGCCACGGUUUUCUCUCAGGCAGCUCACAGUGUGAUUAUAUGCUGUCUUCCAGGGAGGCAAGGAUGCAUCUAAUUUCCAACCACCUCCAGAGCAUAAUUGUACAUGUUGGCUAUCCAUCACCAUUUGCCAGAGGAUGGGCAGCAGCAGUGAAAUGCAGCUCCCAGUCAGCUAUCAUUAGGAUGAACUACUGAUACCAUACAGUGAACCGUAUUGGUGAGCUAUGAUGUGUCUUAGGAAGACUGCUCAGAGAGAUUUACAAGGACCCAGCCAAAAUCUAUGAAGAUUUGAAGCAAUUUGUAUUACUGUUGAAGAUAAUGACAAUCCUGAAGAAGGAAAUGGAAAAUAAAAUAUGGCUCUGGAAAUGGAAUUGGUUGGUGAAAUAUAUUACAGGAGCUGAAAGAAAAAUGGAAAAAUUUAGAGAAACUAAUACAAAAAAAAACCAAAUGUAAUAAAGUUGUUCUGCAAAGUACAUAGCACCUUGCUUUAUACUAAGUACUCAAUAAAUAAA